rnacentral:lncRNA from 1 species
CUAGGUGUUAGUGCUUAUAUUAUUCACCACACCGCACGCUCGCCUUGGAUCCAAGUAGGUGGAUGUCGUACAGACCGUGUGAGGGUUCCGACAUGCCAGUCGUACAGACCAUUAGAGGGGUUCCGACUGGUGGGCGACAUUAGAUAUGCGCGCUGAUGAUUGAUGUGAGAAGCACUAGAGCGUAUCUUUACACCUUUCAGCGUACAGACUACCUUACGUAGUUCUGUGUGAUGUGCAGAGUAGGGCCGUAUAGGUCACUGUGGUGACUCCGGCUGAGGGGAUUAUUGAGCUAUUGAAUUGAUCGUACAGGACCAACUGCAGGGUCUCCGAUUGAUUCCCUAUUUCCACCUGAUUAUAAUUUGAUUUAUGGCAUGACAUCUUUUCUUGAAAAAAAAAAAAAAUGUUAAAGAUUUGAGAUUUGAGUUUUGAGAUUAUAAAUGGUUUUAUAUAUAUAUAUAUACUAUUUUCUGGGAAAGUAUACAGAUUUUACGGUGAGGGGUUAGAAAUGUUUUAAAUGAAAGGUUUUCGAAACACUUUGUUUUACUGACCCACUCAAAUUUGUUUUUCGCCCCUCCAGGUUUAAGUUAGCAGAGCUUUGGUGGCCACGAGGAACCCAACGGCGUUCUGACAGAAUUCACAAAAGUAGGACUCACCCUCGGGGGUUUCCAUUUAGUAAUUGUAUUUUUAAGAGCUUCCGAACUGUGUAAAUGGUUACGUCACUCUCACGUGACGGCCAGCACGCCCUCCUUCGGGACGGGGUGUGUCAGUUGGUAUCAGAGCCUAGGUUGCAAUCCUGGACAUCUUUAGAAUUUCCUAGUGUCUUCUGUCAGAACUUUACUGCCUCGUUGUGAGCCACGUCGUUUAGAUGAGCUUAGUUUCCCUAAUUUAGCAGUUUGGGGGGAAACUAUUGUUAUUGUGAUUCAGUCUAUUAUCUAAGGAACUUUUGAAGACUGGUUAUAAGUUGAAUUUGAAUCACUUUAUGGAAAUUAUGAACCUGAGGGAUCAGAGUGUUGGCUUACUCACUUGGAAAAGACGUUUUGGGUUAUGCAAGUCAAAGGAAUCUUUCUUCUGACAGGUGGGUCGAGACGACUACCUGGUAGUGGGUUAUGAAUUUAUAUCCUGGUGGAAACAGGAGUAUUAUUCGUCACCGGAGGAAACAGCCGAUUGAGAAUUGUUUAAAGAAUUGUUAAAGAAAAGAUUUAUUCCUCCGGCAUAUUAUGAUGGUAGUAAGUAAGAGUUUGCAAAUGUGAAUCAAGGAAGAUGACGGCAAAUGAGUAUUAUAGAAAGUUUUUAGACUUGCCUCGUUUCCAUUCGGAUAUUAUUGCUAAGUUGGUUGAGGGUUAUGUUGUUUUAGGCUGGAUAAUAAGAAGAAGUGGCGCUCUUUGGCAAUCACUAUCCAAUGUACUAUUUACCAAGAAUUUACAAGAUGUCGUUGAGAAUUGAGGACUCUGAGAACAUGAUCAGCGAGAGUAAAGAAGAAUAAGAAAAGAAUGGUGAUUAGAGGAAAGACGAUAAGGUUAAAAAUCCGUUAUAUCAAGGACAUCGAAAGACUCAGAGCUUCAAAAGAAGUGAAGUUAGAACUAAUUCUUCCAGCUGAGAUUUUAAUGCCACUGGUCAGAGGCGAAGGGAUAGAUUUAUUGGUGAUCCCAGAUCUCAGAGACAAGGUGACUCGAGUAAAGGAAAUGUAUCUUUGUACGUAGGUACAAUAUUAGGCACUUUGGAGAGUGUGGGAAUCAGUGAAUGUGUUCAUGUGGUUGGAUAAGGCAUAACGGUAUGAAUUGUCCCUGGGAUCAGUUGUUACCCAGCAGUCUUCUUUGACAUAUUAUUUGGAAAAUUGAGGAGUAAGCUGUACAUGUCAUUCUAGCUGACUUCGGCUGAUAUAUUUCUUAUUAUGGACGAUGUUGCUAAAGAGAGUAAUGUUGGAGCACGAUCGAGGCGUAUUUAUGUACUUCUAAUGAAGAACAAGAUGUUAAUGGUACACCUUCAGGGUGUCCAGUGAUGGUGGAAGAAGUAGUUAUGCCAGUGAAUCUUAUCCUGUUAGGCAUUGUGGAUUUUGAUGUGACUUUAAGCACAGAUUGGCUAGGUUAUAAUCAUGCCAAUAUGGAUUAUCAAAGGUUACCUUUGUGAUUGAGCAAAGUGGAUUGAGUUAGGCCGUUAUUUAUGCUGUGAGAACAAAGAGAUUGUUAUCGAAAGGCUGCCAAGGAUACUCAGCUCGUGUGGUGCUAAUUGAUGUUGAUCCUAAUAGUAUGGAAGAUGUAAAGAUGGUUAGACAUUUUCCUGGUGUAUUCCCAGAUGACUGACCUAGAUUGCCGCCAGGCAGAGAUGUGGGUUUCACUGUUGAAUUGUCUCUAGGUGCAAAUCUUAUGUUAGAGAUUGGUUCAGGUUGAGUUAAAAGUUCCAUUCAAUUUAAUACAUCACAUUGGAAAAGCUCCGGUUUAUUUGUGAGGAAGAAAGUGGACAUUAAGGCUAGGCAUUGAUAUUAGGUAAUUGAAUCGGGUAACGAUUGAGAGCCGUUAUCCAUUGUUGUGUAUUGAUGAUUAUUUGAUCAGCUCUAAGGCGCCUGGGUACUUUCUGAGAUUGACUAGAGGUCUGAAUAAUAUUAGUUGAAGAUUAACAGUGAGAAUAUUCAUAAGACUGAAUUCAGGACUCGUUAUGGUCAUUUCAAGUUAGUGAUGCCAUACGGAGUGACGAAUGCACCUGCUACUUUUAUGAGUUUACUGAAGGAAGUAUUCCAGUGAUAUCUAGAUCGAUUUGUUGUUGUUGCCAUUGAUGAGAUUGAUAAGAUUAGAGCGGAGCAUGCUAGAUAUUUUAAAUUGGUGUUGUAAAGAUUGAGGGAACGUCGAUAUAUGCUAAGUUUAGCAAAUGCUAAUGUUGGAUAAAUCGAGUGACAUUUUUGAGACAUGUUAUUUCUACUUAAAAUAUUCAAGUGGAUUCUUAAAAAGGUAGCAGUGAUUGAGAACUUGGAACAAUUGCGAAACGUCACUGAGAUUCAGAGUUUCUUGGCUUAGCAGGUUAUUAUUGAUAGUUCGUUCAAGAUUUUUCAAUCAUUGCUUUGCCCUUGGCGAGAUUGAUGAGAAAAGAGGUUAAGUUUGAGUGGGAAGAAAAAUUGUGAGUAGAGCUUCAGCAAGUAAAGUAUUCCCUCACUCAUGCAUCUGUUUUCGCACUCCCAGACGAUAGUGGUAAUUAUGUGGUCUAUAGUGAUACUUUUUUUUUAUGUUCUUGGAUGCGUGUUGAUGCAGCAUGGUAGGAUGAUUGCCUAUGCUUCAUGGCCAUUGAGAUCUCAUGAGAUGAAUUACCCUACUUGUGAAUUGGAAUUGGCGGCUAUCAUUCUUACUUUAAAGUUAUGGAGACAUUAUAUUAUUGGUGAGAAAUGCAAGAUUUUAAUGAAUCAUAAGAGUCUCCAAUAUAUGUUUACGCGGAGAGAUAUUAAUCUUAGGCAACAAAGGUGGAUUGAGUUGCUUAGUGAUUAUGAUUGUGCGACUAGGGUGGUCGAGCUAAUGUUGUUGCUGAUGCAUUUAGUAGGAAGACCCCAGCGAGAAUUAAUGCUUGGUACGCUUGCUAUGUUCAUCUUCUUGUGAAUUUGAGAUCUACUGGAGUAAAGUUGGGUAUCGAAAAUCGAGAAGAAGCCUUACUUGCUAAUUUCCAAGUUGGACCCAUUUGGUAGAUCGUACUCGAGACUCUAGCGUUUGACUAAGAAAUUCAAGAAUUUAUUUAAAGCAAUGAAUAACGGGAAAAAGAAAGACCUUAGAGUUAGAGAAUCAGAUGGCAAGCUUAUGCAAGAGAACAAAGUGUUUAUGCCCAAUGGUAUGGAAUUAAAGAAAGCAAUUUUGACGAUGUACAUUGUUCCACUUCUACAAUGCAUCCCGGAAGUACUAAGAUUUAUCAUACCAUUCGUUCAUGUACUAUUGACGGGCAUGAAAAGAGGAAUGGCGAAGUAUGUUAGUAGGCGUAUCAUCAAUCAUCAGGUUAAAGCAGAAAGAAAUAAGUCUUUUGGAAUAAUGUAGUCAUUUACAAUUCCACGGCGGAAAUGGGAGAAUAUUACUACGGAUUUCGUGGACAAGCUUCCUCGUAUACAAAAUAGUUAGGUUGGAGUUUGAAUAAUAAUUGAUCGACUGGUGACGUCAGCGUGUGUUACUUCAAUAUGAGAACAUCAACCUUUCCAGAUAAGCGCAACAGUUAUUUAUUUGUUUUAUGGAAAAAGAAAUUUGGGAUCUGUAAACUUCUUGGGUAUGUUGGUCCCUUCAGUUGGUUCCCUAGAGUAACGCCAUAAGGCCGUGGAAAGCUGUGUCUUGUGUUUCGAAAUUGUUAGAAUUGUGGACGGAUGAUAUUCAAGGCCCUGAGUUAGUAGAGGAGACUAUUCAGAAUAUUCAAGUAAUUAAGUCUAACCUGGAAGUGAGCCAGGAUCGGCUGAAGGGCCUAGCAGACAAUCAUGCCACUGACCGGAUGUAUAUGUAUGUGAUCGAAUGAGUUUGAAAUUAUCACAUUGGAAAAGUAUGAUUCGUUUUAAAAAGAAAAACAAGUAAGUCCUAGAUACAUCAGACCAUAUGUGAUCAUCGAUCGAGUAAGUGAAGUUACGGACAGGCUUGAGUUGCCUCCAGAGUCGACGAAAGGGCACGAUAUGUUUCACGUUUCGAUACUUCGACAUUAAACCUCAUAUCCUUCACGAGUGAUACCUCCUCAACCUUUGGAAGUCAAUCUGGAUUUGACGUAUGAUGAUGAGCCAGUGCCUAUCUUGUAUUAGAAAGAUGAUGUACUGAAAAAUAAGACUAUGAGUUUGGUGAAAAUUUAUGGAGGAAUCUUUCAGUGGAAGAAACUACUUGAAAGUCAGAGAAUCGAAUGAGAGAGAUGUGUUUCAGGCUGUUUCAUGGAUAUUGAUGGAUUGUAAAGAUUGUAUAAAUUUCGAGGACGAAAUUUCUUUAAGGUGGGUAGAUUGUGACAGCCCGUCCCUAAUUUUAAGAAUUUUUAAAGUUUUAAUAAAGGAUUUUACAAAAAUGCCCUUUGGAGGUACGUGCAUUAUUCGAGGUUAAUCACCAUGUCGUGCCAUCUAAGAUUUGUUUUCUUGACAUAUCCCCGUAGUACUCGUCGUUACGGACGCGUGGGCGCAGACGGUUCGUGAUUUGGAGUUAUAUCGAAGAAGUUAUUAAUGUUUGAAAUUUGGGAUUUUAAGGAAUUAUAAUUUUAGUAAAAUAUAGAAAUUCUUUUAUGAAAAUGGACGGCCCAGAUUUAAUGGAAUUUGAAAUGGAUGGCUGAGAUGAGGGAAAGGUUUUUGGUGUGUGUAUGUGUAUGAGAAGAAGAACAAGAAAACAGAAAAAACAAGGAAGAGACUGGGCAGAAAUGCCCAAUCGGAGAAGAAGAAGAUGAGAGCGAAUCAGAGGAAGAGAGAGGAAGAAACUGACCAACCAGGGGAAGGAAAGGAGGGAAAGGAGGGUGAGUGGUGCACGGGGGAACAGGAGGAACGGGUCACCCUUGACCCGCGCGACCCAAGCUUCCAAAUCGGCGGGUUUUCGCCAUUUUCGUCCAAUUUUCCGACGAAUUGAAUCAAGGUACCACUCCCAAUCAACAUCUAGACAUUCCCUCUUCACGUUUCACCCCAAGAAUCAUUGAAUUUCAUGGUGAUUUCGCGAAGAACACCCCUACGGGUGCCGCGACCUUUUUGUUUAAAUUCAUCAAAUUUUGAAAUGUUUUCUUGAAAUUACUAACACCAUUAGCAUUCCUUUAGGACCUAGAACAAAGCCCAAGAGGUAAUUGAGGCGUUGGAACAAGUUUGAAGGUCGAAUUGGAAACACCCAAUUCUAGGGUUCUUCACGGUUUUGGUGAAAUUGAAGCACUUCCAGGCCAAAUUGGCCUUGGCCACAGGUAUGAAAGUUGUUCGACUCAUUGAGAUCUUCAAAUCUGCAAAUUUAGGUAAUUUUUGGAAAUAGUUGAAUUUUCCGGCGAGCCGGGGCGGCCAACCGCCACCCGCGGCGGCCCACGCGGCGGCGCGUGGCCAAUGGCUCGCCAAUGUCAUUAUUAGCAUGUGUUUGAGGUUCUAGGUUCAGUUUUGAUAAUUGAUGGACGUAAAUUGAAUAAUUGAACCUAAGUUGGUUACGAUUCGUGGUUAGGUGAAAAUGUGAAUUGACGAUCCGACCGUUGGAUGGUAAUGAAAUUUUAGGAUGUUGUCCUAGAGGUAUAUUGUGGACCUCUGGAAGUUACGGAUUUGAAAUCUGAGUUGCAGAUCAUCCGGAUCGAACUACGUAGUGACGUGUCUUAUAUAAGUUAUGUAUUCGAUCGGCAGGAUUUCUGAGGUUGGAUUUGAUUAUUGUUCUAGGCACUGAUCAUCACGACGCCUUGAUGUACGGUGCUAAGGAGUUGUUGGGCGAACUCCAGGUGAGUGGGCAGUUUUGUUUUCGUAUUACCUAUAUACUACUGUUUUUCCUAGAAAAAUGUUUUUAUAUGAAAAUAUGUUUUGAACAUGCCAUGCCUAGAAUUAUUUGAAAAUCAUGAAUUGGUUUAUGAAUUAUAUGAUUGAUAUAUGAUGCAUACAUAUUGCAUGGUGCUGUGGAGGCAAAGGCAAGUCAGGUGAGUUCAUUUAUGCAUUGAAUUGGUUGAUAUCGAUAUAAUUUGAGCUCGUAAUCUGCACCCUAGGUGUUAGUGCUUAUAUUAUUCACCACACCGCACGCUCGCCUUGGAUCCAAGUAGGUGGAUGUCGUACAGACUGUGUGAGGGUUCCGACAUGCCAGUCGUACAGACCAUUAGAGGGGUUCCGACUGGUGGGUGACAUUAGAUAUGCGCGCUGAUGAUUGAUGUGAGAAGCACUAGAGCGUAUCUUUACACCUUUCAGCGUACAGACUACCUUACGUAGUUCCGUGUGAUGUGCAGAAUAGGGCCGUAUAGGUCACUGUGGUGACUCCGGCUGAGGGGAUUAUUGAGCUAUUGAAUUGAUCGUACAGGACCAACUGCAGGGUCUCCGAUUGAUUCCCUAUUUCCACCUGAUUAUAAUUUGAUUUAUGGCAUGACAUCUUUUCUUGAAAAAA